UGUUGGUUCUCNGACGCGAGGUCACAUGAGUGGCAUCGAGGAUGUUUUUGCUUGCUGGCUCAAUGCUCAUGCACUGAACGGUUUGCAUAUAAUCCUGGAUCAUUUUUCACCAUUGCUGCCUUGGCGCCUUCGGUGUUACGUCGUUGUUCCUGUUUGGGAUUACCUUUAAAAUGGUACCAAAGUGGCUUGUUAGGCUUGAACCAUCCCAACAUCAUUCACGUGGUGGUGUGGUGGCUUAUGAAUUUAUACGUAUGUUCCGUUUUUGAUAUAGUCCCACGCGGUGUCUUNUGCGGUGCACACGUAUUCACUGAAUUNUCGGACGCGGUGCUUGAGAUGACCUUUGGUUUAUCCCAAUAUGUCCCCAAUUAACGGUUGCCAUAAAUUAUGCCCGCCCUACUGCAUGCUCCUGCGCAUGCACUAGACGCGGAGUCAUUAAUGGAUGC
rnacentral:misc_RNA from 1 species